UCUCUCAUCCCACCAUGUGGGUCCUGGGGAUUGAACUCAAGUCUUUAGACUUGACAGCUAACGCACCUUUACCCAUUUUCUUAUUUAGGGUUUUGUUACUAUGAAGGGACACCAUGACCAAGGUAACUCUUAUAAAGGAAAACCUUUAAUUGGGGCUGUCUUGCAGUUUCAGAUUUCAGAGGGUCAGUCCAUUUUCACCAUGGUGAGAAGCAUGCCAGGGUGCAGGAGAAGGAACUGAGAGUUCCACAUCCUGAUUAGAAGGCAGCAGGAGGAGACUGGCUGUGUCUAGACACAUAGCAUGGAAGAUCUCAAAGCCUACCCUCCCAGUGACACACUUCCUCCAACAGGGCCACACCUACUCCAACAGGACCAUGCCUCCUGAUAGUGCUGCACUCCAUGGCCAAAGCAUAUUCAAACCACACAUUGAGCACCUGCUGGUUCUGUUGUCAGUGUUAAGGACAUCCUUAAACUAGUCUACGUGAGCAUUUGUGGCUCAUCAAAAACGGAGCCCAAUCUGUUCACCAUUUCAUCUUUGUCUUCAAAUUAGUAGUAUUUGCCACUCCCCUCACACGUAGUAUGUGCAGUGGGGGCCUUUGACCCUUUUGUCCUCUUUCUCAUGGGCACCUCUGAAAGGUUCUUUUGAAUUUUGCUGCCUAGGCAAAAAGCCUAAUAUUAAAGCAGUCGGUGAGAAAACAUAAAAACGAAUCAUGAAAGCUGAUGUAUCAUUUGGGAGUGUGCGGCAGCAACAACAACAGAAAGACAGCAUUUCAAACCAAUGCAGACUGAGAGCCUCAGGAAUUGUCACCUCUGGCUUGUUGAAGCAUCAUCCUCCCCUCAGCAAAGAGAAGUUUACGGAACACUUUUUCUCAUGUGUUCAACCUGGUACCCCAUCCUUGGAAGAGACUGCCGAUGCCAACUGUGUGCCCAAAGCAUGAUGACCCACUACCCGCCUGUGAUACCUACUGUGUGCCCAAAACAUGGUGAACCAGUCCCCACUUGUGAUGUCUACCCUGUACCCAAAGUAUCAUCUUAUUUUGGUACGAUGAACUAGUACCUACCUGUGAUGGCUACUGGGUGCCCAGAGCAUGGCGAUCUAGUACCCGCCUGUGAUGCCUACUGUGUGUCUAAAGAAUGAUGAGACCUCCUGUUCCCAGAGCUGAAAGGAAGAUCCCCUCUUAAAAAUACUGUGGAAGCUGGGUCUGGCUAUGAAUGUGUUUAACACUGAGGAGGCAGAGGCAGGAUCUGCCAUAUUUGUGGAAAGCCGUCCCCUCAGGUUUAUCUAGCAAGCAUCCUGAUUUCCAGGUAUCCUUCUCUCCCCUGGAGAGAGCACUUCCCAGAACUUCACUGUUUUACAAGGAGCCCUUUUAUAUCU